UUAGGAAUCUUGCGCAAUGGGCGAAAGCCUGACGCAGCGACGUCGCGUGACUGAUGAAGUCUUUCGGGAUGUAAAGGUCUUUUUUGGGGGAAGAAGGAUGUGACGGUACCCCAAGAAUAAGCCCCGGCUAACUACGUGCCAGCAGCCGCGGUAAUACGUAGGGGGCGAGCGUUGUCCGAAUUCACUGGGCGUAAAGCGCGCGUAGGCGGGUUAUUAAGUUGGGGGUGAAAUCCCGAGGCUCAACCUCGGAACUGCCUCCAAAACUGUUAACCUUGAGGUAUGGAGAGGGAAGUGGAAUUCCAGGUGUAGCGGUGAAAUGCGUAGAUAUCUGGAGGAACACCUGUGGCGAAGGCGGCUUCCUGGCCAUAUCCUGACGCUGAGGUGCGAAAGCUAGGGGAGCGAACGGG
rnacentral:rRNA from 1 species